rnacentral:rRNA from 1 species
AAAGACGGGUGAGAAUCCCGUCCACCGAUUGACUAAGGUUUCCAGAGGAAGGCUCGUCCGCUCUGGGUUAGUCGGGUCCUAAGCUGAGGCCGACAGGCGUAGGCGAUGGAUAACAGGUUGAUAUUCCUGUACCACCUAUAAUCGUUUUAAUCGAUGGGGGGACGCAGUAGGAUAGGCGAAGCGUGCGAUUGGAUUGCACGUCUAAGUAGUAAGGCUGAGUAUUAGGCAAAUCCGGUACUCGUUAAGGCUGAGCUGUGAUGGGGAGAAGACAUUGAGUCUUCGAGUCGUUGAUUUCACACUGCCGAGAAAAGCCUCUAGAUAGAAAAUAGGUGCCCGUACCGCAAACCGACACAGGUAGUCAAGAUGAGAAUUCUAAGGUGAGCGAGCGAACUCUCGUUAAGGAACUCGGCAAAAUGACCCCGUAACUUCGGGAGAAGGGGUGCUCUUUAGGGUUAACGCCCAGAAGAGCCGCAGUGAAUAGGCCCAAGCGACUGUUUAUCAAAAACACAGGUCUCUGCUAAACCGUAAGGUGAUGUAUAGGGGCUGACGCCUGCCCGGUGCUGGAAGGUUAAGAGGAGUGGUUAGCUUCUGCGAAGCUACGAAUCGAAGCCCCAGUAAACGGCGGCCGUAACUAUAACGGUCCUAAGGUAGCGAAAUUCCUUGUCGGGUAAGUUCCGACCCGCACGAAAGGCGUAACGAUUUGGGCACUGUCUCAACGAGAGACUCGGUGAAAUCAUAGUACCUGUGAAGAUGCAGGUUACCCGCGACAGGACGGAAAGACCCCGUGGAGCUUUACUGUAGCCUGAUAUUGAAAUUCGGCACAGCUUGUACAGGAUAGGUAGGAGCCUUUGAAACGUGAGCGCUAGCUUACGUGGAGGCGCUGGUGGGAUACUACCCUAGCUGUGUUGGCUUUCUAACCCGCACCACUUAUCGUGGUGGGAGACAGUGUCAGGCGGGCAGUUUGACUGGGGCGGUCGCCUCCUAAAAGGUAACGGAGGCGCUCAAAGGUUCCCUCAGAAUGGUUGGAAAUCAUUCAUAGAGUGUAAAGGCAUAAGGGAGCUUGACUGCGAGACCUACAAGUCGAGCAGGGUCGAAAGACGGACUUAGUGAUCCGGUGGUUCCGCAUGGAAGGGCCAUCGCUCAACGGAUAAAAGCUACCCCGGGGAUAACAGGCUUAUCUCCCCCAAGAGUUCACAUCGACGGGGAGGUUUGGCACCUCGAUGUCGGCUCAUCGCAUCCUGGGGCUGUAGUCGGUCCCAAGGGUUGGGCUGUUCGCCCAUUAAAGCGGUACGCGAGCUGGGUUCAGAACGUCGUGAGACAGUUCGGUCCCUAUCCGUCGUGGGCGUAGGAAAUUUGAGAGGAGCUGUCCUUAGUACGAGAGGACCGGGAUGGACAUACCUCUGGUGUACCAGUUGUCGUGCCAACGGCAUAGCUGGGUAGCUAUGUGUGGACGGGAUAAGUGCUGAAAGCAUCUAAGCAUGAAGCCCCCCUCAAGAUGAGAUUUCCCAACUUCGGUUAUAAGAUCCCUCAAAGAUGAUGAGGUUAAUAGGUUCGAGGUGGAAGCAUGGUGACAUGUGGAGCUGACGAAUACUAAUCGAUCGAAGACUUAAUCAAAA